CAAUUGAAGAGUUUGAUCCUGGCUCAGCUUGAACGCUGUCGGCAUGGCUAAAACAUGCAAGUCGAGGGAGAAGCCCGCUUCGGUGGGUGGAAACCGGCGGAAGGGCGAGGAAUACGAUCGAACGUGCCCCGAGGUGGGGGAUAGCGUCGGGAAACUGACGGUAAUACCCCAUGUGCUCUCCGGAGGAAAGCUACGGCGCCUUGGGAGCGGCGAUCGUCCUAUCAGGUUGUUGGUGAGGUAACGGCUCACCAAGCCACAGACGGGUAGCGGGUGUGAGAGCACGACCCGCCGCAUCGGAACUGAGACACUGUCCGGACUCCUACGGGAGGCUGCAGUAACGAAUCUUCCGCAAUGCACGAAAGUGUGACGGAGCAAUGCCGAGUGUGGGAUGAAGCGGUUUUGCCGUGUAAACCACUGUCAGGACCUCGGAAGAACUGA
rnacentral:rRNA from 1 species